rnacentral:lncRNA from 1 species
GGUAGAAGGGAAUCCUGUUUGAAAGAAAAAUAAAAUGACCAGUAGAAGAAUUCAAAGCAAUCCUGGUUAAAACCUUAGGGGGAACUAAGGAAUUAUGGUCUAAGAUUUCGUGGAGAUCCUACGGUGACAAAGCAGUAGAGAUUUUCUCUGGCCCGUGUCACUGCCAGCCUAGGAAUAGUGACCCUCAGGGGACCCAGGUAGACUACCCGGCCUUGAAGCCAUCGCUACCUCGCUUCCUCUAGGAUCUUCCCUCAUAGUCUGAACAGCAGAGACUGAACAGAUCAUCCGGUCUGACAGGAGUGCCAGAGCCGGGUUCUACAGCGGCGGACCCACAAGCCAGCACCACUGACACGGCUUCCAGUGAG